ACGGAGAAGGCUAUGUUGGCCGGGCGACGGUUGUCCCGGUUUAAGCGUGUAGGCUGGUUUUCCAGGCAAAUCCGGAAAAUCAAGGCUGAGGCGUGAUGACGAGGCACUACGGUGCUGAAGCAACAAAUGCCCUGCUUCCAGGAAAAGCCUCUAAGCAUCAGGUAACAUCAAAUCGUACCCCAAACCGACACAGGUGGUCAGGUAGAGAAUACCAAGGCGCUUGAGAGAACUCGGGUGAAGGAACUAGGCAAAAUGGUGCCGUAACUUCGGGAGAAGGCACGCUGAUAUGUAGGUGAGGUCCCUCGCGGAUGGAGCUGAAAUCAGUCGAAGAUACCAGCUGGCUGCAACUGUUUAUUAAAAACACAGCACUGUGCAAACACGAAAGUGGACGUAUACGGUGUGACGCCUGCCCGGUGCCGGAAGGUUAAUUGAUGGGGUUAGCGCAAGCGAAGCUCUUGAUCGAAGCCCCGGUAAACGGCGGCCGUAACAAUAACGGUCCUAAGGUAGCGAAAUUCCUUGUCGGGUAAGUUCCGACCUGCACGAAUGGCGUAAUGAUGGCCAGGCUGUCUCCACCCGAGACUCAGUGAAAUUGAACUCGCUGUGAAGAUGCAGUGUACCCGCGGCAAGACGGAAAGACCCCGUGAACCUUUACUAUAGCUUGACACUGAACAUUGAGCCUUGAUGUGUAGGAUAGGUGGGAGGCUUUGAAGUGUGGACGCCAGUCUGCAUGGAGCCGGCCUUGAAAUACCACCCUUUAAUGUUUGAUGUUCUAACGUUGACCCGUAAUCCGGGUUGCGGACAGUGUCUGGUGGGUAGUUUGACUGGGGCGGUCUCCUCCUAAAGAGUAACGGAGGAGCACGAAGGUUGGCUAAUCCUGGUCGGACAUCAGGAGGCUAGUGCAAUGGCAUAAGCCAGCUUGACUGCGAGCGUGACGGCGCGAGCAGGUGCGAAAGCAGGUCAUAGUGAUCCGGUGGUUCUGAAUGGAAGGGCCAUCGCUCAACGGAUAAAAGGUACUCCGGGGAUAACAGGCUGAUACCGCCCAAGAGUUCAUAUCGACGGCGGUGUUUGGCACCUCGAUGUCGGCUCAUCACAUCCUGGGGCUGAAGUAGGUCCCAAGGGUAUGGCUGUUCGCCAUUUAAAGUGGUACGCGAGCUGGGUUUAGAACGUCGUGAGACAGUUCGGUCCCUAUCUGCCGUGGGCGCUGGAGAACUGAGGGGGGCUGCUCCUAGUACGAGAGGACCGGAGUGGACGCAUCACUGGUGUUCGGGUUGUCAUGCCAAUGGCACUGCCCGGUAGCUAAAUGCGGAAGAGAUAAGUGCUGAAAGCAUCUAAGCACGAAACUUGCCCCGAGAUGAGUUCUCCCUGACCCUUUAAGGGUCCUGAAGGAACGUUGAAGACGACGACGUUGAUAGGCCGGGUGUGUAAGCGCAGCGAUGCGUUGAGCUAACCGGUACUAAUGAA
rnacentral:rRNA from 1 species